CAUGAGCAAGCCUUCGGUGACUGUCAUCCAAUUUGUAAAAAUUUAUACCAACUAGGAAAAAUAAUUGAUGAUUCUUGGUGAAAACUUCUGAAGCCGCGUUGGGCAUUUUUUGGUAGGGGAAAUUCUUAUAGGUUCGCGUCACCGACGUGCUCGUUCUUUUGUCUGAAUUUAGUUAGUUACUAAAUUCAGACAAAAGAAAAAGUUGUUGAUUUAGUUGGUAACCUCUGUUACUAGACAAACAAACUAUGUGUCUGUCGGCGUUUCAAGAGGUAUCCGAAAACUAGAACUUAAGAAUAAAAUCUCGGCACUAGGGGGCAAUGGUUUGAACACCAACGAAUCUUUGGAGACUGUAAUCUAGUUUGUAGAAAAUUUUAUCAACCGGAGAAAAAUAACUGUGUCAACUGAUGAACAUGAGCAAGCCUUCGGUGACUGUAAUCCAAUUUGUAUAAAUUGUCAAUGGUUGAACACCAACGAAUUUUUGGAGACUGUAAUUUAGUUUGAAGAAUUUUUUAUCUACCGGAGAAAAUAAUAGACUGUUUCAACUGAGCAACAUGAGCAAGCCUUCGGUGACUGUCAUCCAAUAUGUAAAUUUAUAUCAACUAGGAAAAAUAAUUGAUGAUUCUUGACGAUGGUUGAACUCCAACUAACUGAAAUUUUUAUUCACUGGAAAAAAUUACUGACGAUUAUUGGUAUCAGGAUCACUUGUUAAGAAAUAUUGGGGCUUAUUGCAGCCACUGUCACAACAGGAUGAAGCCAGACUGAAUCUGUAUUAAAUAUUAACUACUUAAAAUAGGUAAUAUUUUAAGUAAAAACUG